rnacentral:ncRNA from 1 species
GCAGAGUAGGCCGCUGCGCGUGAAGUGCCGCUGAAACGGGGAGUUGUUCGGCGGACGAAAGGAAAUCUUUCCUGCGGUGCAGCAGUCGCAUCCCGCUGC